AUUUCACAUUUGUUUACAGGUUUUGUUGAGUAACUAUGGAAAUGAUGGGUGAGAGAGAAAUCAUCCUUGUACUUUUGAAAAAAAUUACUAAUAUGUUGUUAAAUUGCCUUGUUAAUGUUAUUAAAACUGCUUUGUGUAUGAAAUGUGAUAUUUGUACUAGUACUAUAGGUUGUAAAUAUGAGGCUUCAAAUACUUGAUCAAACAUGCAAAUUAUGGUCAAUGCUCAAAAAAACUUUGGGUGAUUUGAAAGAUGGUCUUUUAAUUUGGACUGUAGGUUUUGGUAUUCUUCAGUAAGCAGAAACAGAUUUUUCUUCAAAGUGCAAUGACACUCAUUCUAGUAUUAUUAAAUUUGUAGAUCUCUACUUCUUCUGCAAUCAUAUCUAAAUCACAUCUCUCAAUCUUGGGUUGGUUUGCUGGAGCACUUGUAAAUGUUGUGUCUGCAGAUAUCGUGAUAUCACAGUUGUAGAUAUCACAUGUAGAUAUCACAGCUGUAAAUCACGCAGACGUUUGAUCAAGUGUUUGAACUGGAGAAAAAGAUGUACAUAUUUAUCCAAUGGGUAAAUGAUUUAAUAGAUCAAAUUUUCUACCUCUGAUGUUAUCUGUGUAGGAUUUAUUUCAAAUUUAAUUAAAUUCCCAUUUCCUACCAU
rnacentral:misc_RNA from 1 species